rnacentral:lncRNA from 10 species
GAGCUGAGAUCAUGCCACUGCACUCCAGCCUGGAUGACAGAGUGAGACCCUGUCUCAAAAAAAAAACAAAAAAAACAAAACACACACACACACACACACACACAAAUUCACAGAACAUCUACUAUGUGCAAGGCACACAGGACAGAGACAAUACAUAGUACCAUUCCUCAAAGAGAUCACAAUCUAAGAAAGCUGACAGAUAGGGACAUAAAUCUAAAUAGAAAGUGGUAGGGUUUAUGAUCAAAUAUGUAAAAGUAGAGAGGUGGCAGAAAAGGAAUGACACCUCUAAAAGCUGAAUUCAAUUAGCUUAAUAAGAAAGUCAAUAAACAGACAAUUAAAAAUAGGAUUGUGAUACAUGAUGUUUUAUAGCAGGAGAGAGUAAUUAACUCAAUCCUUACUUUUAAAGGAAACUUUAAAGAAAAUAUUAGAACUCUAAUUUUCUCUUCACUGGAAACUGGUCACUAGGAGUAAAGAGACACUGCCACACUACAAUUAAAACAGGAUUUUUGUUGUUUUUUGAGGUAGGCUCUGCUCUGUUGCCCAGCACUACUUAUCACAAGCACAUAUGCACUUCACUGAA